rnacentral:rRNA from 1 species
UGGGGAAUAUUGGACAAUGGAGGCAACUCUGAUCCAGCAAUUCUGUGUGUGUGAAGAAGGUUUUAGGACUGUAAAACACUUUUAGUAGGGAAGAAAGAAAUGACGGUACCUACAGAAGAAGCGACGGCUAAAUACGUGCCGGCAGCCGCGGUAAUACGUAUGUCGCGAGCGUUAUCCGGAAUUAUUGGGCUUAAAGGGCAUCUAGGCGGUUAAACAAGUUGAAGGUGAAAACCUGUGGCUCAACCAUAGGCGUGCCUACAAAACUGUAUAACUAGAGUACUGGAAAGGUGGGUAGAACUACACGAGUAGAGGUGAAAUUCGUAGAUAUGUGUAGGAAUGCCGAUGAUGAAGAUAACUCACUGGACAGCAACUGACGCUGAAGUGCGAAAGCUAGGGGAGCAAACAGGA